AGCGGAGGAAAAGAAACCAACAGGGAUUGCCCUAGUAACGGCGAGUGAAGCGGCAACAGCUCAAAUUUGAAAUCUGGCUCUUUUAGAGUCCGAGUUGUAAUUUGCAGAGGGCGCUUUGGCGUUGGCAGCGGUCCAAGUUCUUUGGAACAGGACGUCACAGAGGGUGAGAAUCCCGUACGUGGUCGCUAUCCUUCGCCGUGUAAAGCCCCUUCGACGAGUCGAGUUGUUUGGGAAUGCAGCUCUAAAUGGGAGGUAAAUUUCUUCUAAAGCUAAAUACUGGCCAGAGACCGAUAGCGCACAAGUAGAGUGAUCGAAAGAUGAAAAGCACUUUGGAAAGAGAGUCAAAUAGCACGUGAAAUUGUUGAAAGGGAAGCGCUUGCAGCCAGACUUGCCUGUAGUUGCUUAUCCGGACUUUUGUCCGGUGCACUCUUCUAUAGGCAGGCCAGCAUCAGUUUAGGCGGUUAGAUAAAGGUCUCUGUCACGUACCUCUCUUCGGGGAGGCCUUAUAGGGGAGACGACAUGUAACCAGCUUAGACUGAGGUCCGCGCAUUUUGCUAGGAUGCUGGCGUAAUGGCUGUAAGCGGCCCGUCUUGAAACACGGACCAAGGAGUCUAACAUCUAUGCGAGUGUUUGGGUGUCAAGCCCAGACGCGUAAUGAAAGUGAACGGAGGUAGGAACCCUUUGGGUGCACUAUCGACCGAUCCUGAUGUCUUCGGAAGGAUUUGAGUAAGAGCAUGGCUGUUGGGACCCGAAAGAUGGUGAACUAUGCUUGAAUAGGGUGAAGCCAGAGGAAACUCUGGUGGAGGCUCGCAGCGGUUCUGACGUGCAAAUCGAUCGUCAAAUUUGGGCAUAGGGGCGAAAGACUAAUC
rnacentral:rRNA from 1 species